GUGCAAGUGACAAUGAGGAAAACAUACAAAACCCAAUUCAAAGUGAAAAAACCUUCUUACUUGUUAAAGAACCGAAAAAAUGGUCGGACGCUCUUUUUGACUGCAUGGGUCGUGGAAUGAAUCUGGCGUCAAUCGAAAAUGAUGAUGAGUGGAACGCUUUUCUUGGAACCAUAAGGCAUGUAGAAGAAUAUGUAUGGAUUGGUGGUCAUGAUUUGGGUAACUAUCCGAAUUUUAUAUGGAUAUCCACUGGACAACGACUUUCAUAUACCCGCUGGGAAGUUGGUGAGCCAAAUUCGUCUAAUUGUCACUGCUUGUUAGCUACCAAUGAGGGAUUUAUGAACCAAGAUUGUUCCUUUGCUCGUAAAUAUGUAUGUGAGCAAAGAAAAACUAUAGCUGAGAAGCCAACUCCUAAAUAUAGAUCAUAGGCAUACAAUUUGAUCGAUAAUUAAAUAUAAAGUUAUUUUUUCAAGUUGCAUUUGUAUUUCCCGCAGUUUUGCGUCCACCUUUUUACAUAUACAGCCAUUGUAAUUAGUAUUUAAUUCCAAUUCAAAUAAAGAAAAAUGUCAAAUAAA